AAGCGCCAUGGCCGCUGCCUCUCGGGCCCGGGUCGCGUACUUGCUGAGGCAACUGCAACGCGCAGCGUGAGUGCGGGGCCGGCGGGCGGGCAGGGGACCGCAGGAUGCCCACGCAGCCCCCUGGGUGUGACCCGCUCGGAUCCUGCGCAGUCUUCUCCGCUUACUUUCAAGAAUUCGGGGAAUUUGGAUACCGCCCUGAGCUCCCACCGCGCGCCAGGCGGAACAGCGAGGUCACAGAGUGCGCGAUACAGCCUCGCAGGGCGCAGUGAGGCAGCCUUUACUCUGCUUGUCUACCGUUAAGGAAACUGAGGCCCAGAGAGGACCUGGUCCCACAUCGUAGCAGGCAGUGGAGAGCUUGGCACUGUGGCCAAAACAAAUUCAUGUGCCAGUGCCCAACUCAUUCUCAUACUUACUCCCAAGAUGGCUGUUUCAAAUAUUAGAUAUGGAGCAGGAGUUACAAAGGAAGUGGGAAUGGACCUACAAAACAUGGGUGCUAAAAAUGUGUGCUUGAUGACAGACAAGAACCUCU
rnacentral:sRNA from 1 species